rnacentral:rRNA from 1 species
GAGUGGCGGACGGGUGAGUAAUGUCUGGGAAACUGCCCGAUGGAGGGGGAUAACUACUGGAAACGGUAGCUAAUACCGCAUAACGUCUUCGGACCAAAGUGGGGGACCUUCGGGCCUCACACCAUCGGAUGUGCCCAGAUGGGAUUAGCUAGUAGGUGGGGUAACGGCUCACCUAGGCGACGAUCCCUAGCUGGUCUGAGAGGAUGACCAGCCACACUGGAACUGAGACACGGUCCAGACUCCUACGGGAGGCAGCAGUGGGGAAUAUUGCACAAUGGGCGCAAGCCUGAUGCAGCCAUGCCGCGUGUAUGAAAAAGGCCUUCGGGUUGUAAAGUACUUUCAGUGGGGAGGAAGGCGAUGAAGUUAAUAACUUCCUCGAUUGACGUUACCCGCAGAAGAAGCACCGGCUAACUCCGUGCCAGCAGCCGCGGUAAUACGGAGGGUGCAAGCGUUAAUCGGAAUUACUGGGCGUAAAGCGCACGCAGGCGGUCUGUGAAGUCGGAUGUGAAAUCCNCGGGCUCAACCUGGGAACUGCAUUCGAAACUGGCAGGCUAGAGUCUUGUAGAGGGGGGUAGAAUUCCNGGUGUAGCGNCGAAAUGCGUAGAGAUCA